AGAGUUUGAUCCUGGCUCAGAUUGAACGCUGGCGGCAUGCCUUACACAUGCAAGUCGAACGGCAGCGGGGGAGCUUGCUCCUGCCGGCGAGUGGCGAACGGGUGAGUAAUGCAUCGGAACGUGUCCUGUUGUGGGGGAUAACUGAUCGAAAGAUCAGCUAAUACCGCAUGAGACCUGAGGGUGAAAGCGGGGGAUCGCAAGACCUCGCGCGACAGGAGCGGCCGAUGUCUGAUUAGCUAGUUGGUGAGAUAAAAGCUUACCAAGGCGACGAUCAGUAGCUGGUCUGAGAGGAUGAUCAGCCACAUUGGGACUGAGACACGGCCCAGACUCCUACGGGAGGCAGCAGUGGGGAAUUUUGGACAAUGGGGGAAACCCUGAUCCAGCCAUGCCGCGUGCGGGAUGAAGGCCUUCGGGUUGUAAACCGCUUUUGAUCGGGAGCAAGCCUUCGGGUGAGUGUACCUUUCGAAUAAGCACCGGCUAACUACGUGCCAGCAGCCGCGGUAAUACGUAGGGUGCAAGCGUUAAUCGGAAUUACUGGGCGUAAAGGGUGCGCAGGCGGCUGUGCAAGACAGAUGUGAAAUCCCCGGGCUUAACCUGGGAACUGCAUUUGUGACUGCACGGCUAGAGUUUGUCAGAGGAGGGUGGAAUUCCGCGUGUAGCAGUGAAAUGCGUAGAUAUGCGGAAGAACACCAAUGGCGAAGGCAGCCCUCUGGGACAUGACUGACGCUCAUGCACGAAAGCGUGGGGAGCAAACAGGAUUAGAUACCCCAGUAGUCCAGAAGUGGCUUCCAG
rnacentral:rRNA from 1 species